CACAUAACUUUUAAAGGUCUAGCUACCAUAUUAUUACCCACAAGGGUAAAGGAACAACACCAUUGCUGGAUAAUUGGAAAUUCCCUGUGUAUCAACCUCUGUGCUCUGUGGCAAGGUAGACUAGCAAACAUGCCCAACCUUUACUUACAUUCGAGAAAACACUCCCACCAAGAUUGCUUGCUCCAAAAUCGAAGAGGCACCGUCAUCCGAAUCUCGAGAGCCAGACUCCCAACAUGAUUACUUUCUCAAAAAUCGAAAAGACACCACUCUCCGAAUCUCGAGAGCUAGACUCCCAGCA
rnacentral:lncRNA from 1 species